rnacentral:rRNA from 1 species
CCUUUUGUAUAAUGGGUCAGCGACUUAUAUUCUGUAGCAAGGUUAACCGAAUAGGGGAGCCGUAGGGAAACCGAGUCUUAACCGGGCGUUAAGUUGCAGGGUAUAGACCCGAAACCCGGUGAUCUAGCCAUGGGCAGGUUGAAGGUUGGGUAACACUAACUGGAGGACCGAACCGACUAAUGUUGAAAAAUUAGCGGAUGACCUGUGGCU